CCUACGGGAGGCAGCAGUGGGGAAUCUUGCGCAAUGGGCGAAAGCCUGACGCAGCAACGCCUCGUGAGGGACGAAGGUCUUCGGAUUGUAAACCUCUUUCAGCAGGGACGAAGCGAAAGUGACGGUACCUGCAGAAGAAGCACCGGCCAACUACGUGCCAGCAGCCGCGGUGACACGUAGGCACCAAGCGUUGUCCGGAUUUAUUGGGCGUAAAGAGCUCGUAGGCGGUUCAGUAAGUCGGGUGUGAAAACUCUGGGCUUAACCCAGAGACGCCACCCGAUACUGCUGUGACUUGAGUCCGGUAGGGGAGUGGGGAAUUCCUGGUGUAGCGGUGAAAUGCGCAGAUAUCAGGAGGAACACCAAUGGCGAAGGCACCACUCUGGGCCGAGACUGACGCUGAGGAGCGAAAGCGUGGGUAGCAAACAGGAUUAGAUACCCUGGUAGUCCACGCCGUAAACGGUGGGCACUAGGUGUGGGUUCCAACCAACGGAAUCCGCGCCGUCGCUAACGCAUUAAGUGCCCCGCCUGGGGAGUACGGCCGCAAGGUUAAAACUCAAAGGAAUUGACGG
rnacentral:rRNA from 1 species